AUUGAACGCUGGCGGCAGGCCUAACACAUGCAAGUCGAGCGGAUGAGGGUAGCUUGCUACCUGAUUCAGCGGCGGACGGGUGAGUAAUGCCUAGGAAUCUGCCCGAUAGUGGGGGACAACGUUUCGAAAGGAACGCUAAUACCGCAUACGUCCUACGGGAGAAAGUGGGGGAUCUUCGGACCUCACGCUAUCGGAUGAGCCUAGGUCGGAUUAGCUAGUUGGUGAGGUAAUGGCUCACCAAGGCUACGAUCCGUAACUGGUCUGGGAGGAUGAUCAGUCACACUGGAACUGAGACACGGUCCAGACUCCUACGGGAGGCAGCAGUGGGGAAUAUUGGACAAUGGGCGAAAGCCUGAUCCAGCCAUGCCGCGUGUGUGAAGAAGGUCUUCGGAUUGUAAAGCACUUUAAGUUGGGAGGAAGGGCUGUAGGCUAAUAUCCUGCAGUUUUGACGUUACCAACAGAAUAAGCACCGGCUAACUUCGUGCCAGCCGCCGCGGUAAUAC
rnacentral:rRNA from 1 species